rnacentral:rRNA from 1 species
AGCUGAGAGGUGGUGCAUGGCCGUCGUCAGUCGUACUGUGAAGCAUCCUGUUAAGUCAGGCAACGAGCGAGACCCACGUCCACAGUUGCCAGCAUACCCUCCGGGGUGAUGGGUACACUGUGGAGACCGCCGCUGCUAAAGCGGAGGAAGGAGUGGGCAACGGUAGGUCAGUAUGCCCCGAAUCUCCCGUGCUACACGCGGGCUACAAUGGUUGGUACAAUGGGCAUCUACCCCGAAAGGGGAAGGAAAUCUCUUAAAGCCAAUCGUAGUUCGGAUUGGGGGCUGCGACUCGCCCUCAUGAAGCUGGAAUCCGUAGUAAUCGCGUUUCAACAGAACGCGGUGAAUACGUCCCUGCUCCUU